GGCGGUGUGGCGGAAUUGGUAGACGCAGCAGACUUAAAAUUUGCCGACGAAUAGUCGUACCGGUUCGAUUCCGGUCACCGCCACCA
rnacentral:tRNA from 1 species